rnacentral:rRNA from 1 species
AGGGCGUAUGGUGGAUGCCUUGGCAUUAGAAGCUGAUGAAGGACGUGACUAACUACGAUAUGCUUCGGGGAGAUGUACGUAAUCUUUGAUCCGGAGAUUUCCGAAUGGGGGAACCCACUAGUGGUAAUGCACUAGUAUCACAUAAUGAAUAUAUAGUUAUGUAGAAAGCAACCCAGUGAACUGAAACAUCUUAGUAACUGGAGGAACAGAAAGAAAAAUCGAUUUCCUUAGUAGUGGCGAGCGAAAUGGAAAGAGCCCAAACCAACUUUAGAGUUGGGGUUGUAGGACCUCUCUAUAAGAGUUACAAAUUCAUAACAUAGUUGAACUUUUCUGGAAAGUUAGACGAAACAAGGUGAUAGUCCUGUAAACGAAAUGUUAUGAACUCUUUGAGGUAUCCUGAGUACAACGAGACACGAGAAAUCUUGUUGGAAUCUGCGGGGACCAUCCCGUAAGGCUAAAUACUCUCUAAUGACCGAUAGUGAACAAGUACCGUGAGGGAAAGGUGAAAAGAACCCCGGGAGGGGAGUGAAAUAGAAACUGAAACCGUAUGCUUACAAAAAGUUCGAGCACAUUAAUGUGUGAGAGCGUGCCUUUUGCAGAAUGAACCGGCGAGUUAUUGUAUUAUGCAAGGUUAAGUCGAACAGAUGGAGCCGAAGCGAAAGCGAGUCUGAAUAGGGCGCUUAAGUAUGAUGCAAUAGACCCGAAACCGAGUGAUCUAGCCAUGAGCAGGUUGAAGUUGGGGUAAGACCCAAUGGAGGACCGAACCGAUAUGCCCGGAAACGCGUACGGAUGACUUGUGGUUAGCGGAGAAAUUCCAAACGAACUCGGAGAUAGCUGGUUCUCCCCGAAAUAGGUUUAGGCCUAGCCUUGAUUGAAUCUGCCCGGAGGUAGAGCACUGAAUGUGCGAUGGCGUCGUCUAGAUGUACUGAGUACAAUCAAACUCCGAAUGCUGGGUAGUACUAAUCAGGAGUCACUGUAUGGGUGAUAACGUCCAUACGGGAGAGGAAAAGAAUCCGGAUCGCCAGCUAAGGUCCCAAAAUUUGUGUUAAGUGGGAAAGGAUGUAGAGUUGUCAAAACAGCUAGGAGGUUGGCUUAGAAGCAGCCACCCUUUAAAGAGUGCGUAAUAGCUCACUAGUCGAGUGACACUGCGCCGAAGAUGUACCGGGGCUAAACACAAUACCGAAGCUGCGGACUUGUACAUAAGUGCAAGUGGUAGGGGAGCGUUCUAAGUGCUGAGAAGGUAGACCGUAAGGACUGCUGGAGCGCUUAGAAGUGAGAAUGCCGGUGUGAGUAACGAAAAUUGGGUGAGAAUCCCAUUCACCGUUUGACUAAGGGUUCCUGGGUAAAGUUCGUCUUCCCAGGGUAAGUCAGGACCUAAGAUGAGGCUGAAAAGCGUAGUCGAUGGACAACAGGUUGAUAUUCCUGUACCACCUAUAUGACUGAAGGAGUGACGGAGAAAGCUAGUGAGAGCCAGUUAAUGGAUUCUGGUCUAAGUGCGUAGGCUAGUAUGUUGGCAAAUCCGCAAUACUAUAACAGCUGAAACAUGAUGGGGAAGAGAGUCUUCGGACAAUCGAACUUUCAUGAUGCUAUGCUUCCAAGAAAAGCUUCUAGGGUUAAUCGUAUAGGUGCCUGUACCGACAACCGACACAGGUGGUCAAGGAGAGUAUCCUAAGGUGAGCGAGAGAACUAUGGUUAAGGAACUCGGCAAAAUGACCCCGUAACUUCGGGAGAAGGGGUGGUCUAGCGAUAGACUCGCAGUGAAUAGGCCCAGGCAACUGUUUACCAAAAACACAGGUCUCUGCUAACACGUAAGUGGAUGUAUAGGGGCUGACGCCUGCCCAGUGCUGGAAGGUUAAAGAGAUUAGUUAGUAUGACGUAAGUCGAUAAUACGAAGCUUUGAACUGAAGCCCCAGUGAACGGCGGCCGUAACUAUAACGGUCCUAAGGUAGCGAAAUUCCUUGUCAGGUAAGUUCUGACCCGCACGAAAGGCGUAAUGAUUUGGGCGCUGUCUCGACAAUGUCCCCGGCGAAAUUGUAGUACUAGUGAAGAUGCUAGUUACCUGCGAUAAGACAGAAAGACCCCAUGGAGCUUUACUGCAGUUUGAUACUGGGUUUCGAUGAUUUAUGUACAGGAUAGUUGGGAGACUAUGAAAGAGAGGCGUCAGCUUCUCCGGAGUCGUUGUUGGGAUACCAACCUUAAGUUAUUGAAAUUCUAACUUGUAAUCGUAAACCGGUUAGAGGACAAUGUCAGACGGGCAGUUUGACUGGGGCGGUCGCCUCCUAAAGAGUAACGGAGGCGCCCAAAGGUUUCCUCAGCGCGGACAGAAAUCGCGCGAAAGAGUGCAAAGGCAGAAGGAAGCUUAACUGAGAGACAGACAUGUCGACCAGAUACGAAAGUAGGGCUUAGUGAUCCGGUGGUUGUAAAUGGAAAUGCCAUCGCUCAACGGACAAAAGUUACCCUGGGGAUAACAGGCUUAUCUCCCCCAAGAGUUCACAUCGACGGGGAGGUUUGGCACCUCGAUGUCGGCUCAUCACAUCCUGGAGCGGAAGUACGUUCCAAGGGUUGGGCUGUUCGCCCAUUAAAGUGGUACGCGAGCUGGGUUCAGAACGUCGUGAGACAGUUCGGUCCUUAUCUGUCGCAGGCGAAGGAUAUUUGAGGGGAGUUGACCUUAGUACGAGAGGACCAGGUUGAACUUACCAAUGGUGUAUCAGUUGUCGUACCAACGGCACGGCUGAGUAGCUAAGUAGGGAAGGGAUAAACGCUGAAAGCAUCUAAGUGUGAAGCCCACCCCAAGAUAAGAUAUCCCAUACCGUAAGGUAGU